rnacentral:sRNA from 1 species
CCAAAAUGGAUUUCCCGUGUACAUUCUCUCUACUUUUCAGCCUGAGUGAAGCAAAAGCAGCAACCAUCCACCAUUACAGUAAAAGCUUUCAAGGCUUCUCAGCUAUGAUUACACCUGAGCAAGCCACUCAACUAGCAGAACAUAAAUUGGUAGUGUCAGUUUUUGAGAGCAAAAUGAAUAAACUCCACACCACACAUUCUUGGGAUUUUCUUGGAUUGGAUACUAUCUACAGGAACAAUCCUAAAGCACUGGA